rnacentral:tRNA from 1 species
AGUAUGGAAUCUUUUAUAUAAGUAUUAAAUUCUUAAUUUAAAUUAGAAAAAAUUUUUCCCAUAUUC